rnacentral:rRNA from 1 species
GGGGAAUAUUGCACAAUGGGCGCAAGCCUGAUGCAGCCAUGCCGCGUGUAUGAAGAAGGCCUUCGGGUUGUAAAGUACUUUCAGCGGGGAGGAAGGCGAUAAGGUUAAUAACCUUGUCGAUUGACGUUACCCGCAGAAGAAGCACCGGCUAACUCCGUGCCAGCAGCCGCGGUAAUACGGAGGGUGCAAGCGUUAAUCGGAAUUACUGGGCGUAAAGCGCACGCAGGCGGUCUGUCAAGUCGGAUGUGAAAUCCCCGGGCUCAACCUGGGAACUGCAUCGGAAACUGUUUUUCUUGAGUGCAGAAGAGGAGAGUGGAACUCCAUGUGUAGCGGUGGAAUGCGUAGAUAUAUGGAAGAACACCAGUGGCGAAGGCGGCUCUCUGGUCUGCAACUGACGCUGAGGCUCGAAAGCAUGGGUAGCGAACA